rnacentral:lncRNA from 1 species
CUUAAAGACAAAGGGGUUAAUUGUGAUCUGACUUGUGCUUUAUGCAAUAUGGUGGAGGAAGACAGUUUUCACCUUUUCUUUCGUUGCCCUGGUAGCUGCAAUAUUUGGAGCAUGUGUGAUUUCUUUAGUACUGCGAAUAAUGUGAUAAAUCAAGGCCAGGAUAGUGCAAGUGUUAUUUUCCAAUUGUUGCAGGUGUUAAAUGGUGAUGAGGCAACGUUGUUCUGCUGCAUUCUUUGGAGUAUUUGGAAGCAACGGAACAACAAGGUCUGGAAUGAUGUGAUUGAAGCGCAGGU